AAGUCGUAACAAGGUUUCCGUAGGUGAACCUGCGGAAGGAUCAUUAACACGUAUCCAACGUUAAACCCCCCGUGAACCUUCAGUGCGUUCAUGCAAAGGUGACGAGGGGGGCUCGCGCCCAGUGACCCGGUCGCCGGCCGUGUCGGCCUCUAGCGAUCGUGACUGCGCCAUUCGUACAGAGCUGGUGACACUUUCAGACACCAACAAGCAGAGGAAUGCCAGGCCACUUGCCUCACGCUCAAGCACAGUCUACGCAGAAGUCCCUGAAUCAAAACUGUUCGGCAAUGAUUUACCAGGGAUUGCUACCUUUGAAAACGGGCCUGCGCUUAAUUGUGCGGCCACCAAACUCGAACAACUGUUAACAAUGGAUAUCUUGGUUCUC
rnacentral:misc_RNA from 1 species